AUUGAACGCUGGCGGCAGGCCUAACACAUGCAAGUCGAACGAGUGGCGGACGGGUGAGUAAUGUAUGGGAAACUGCCCGAUGGAGGGGGAUAACUACUGGAAACGGUAGCUAAUACCGCAUACCAUCGGAUGUGCCCAGAUGGCAGUAGCUAGUAGGUGGGGUAACGGCUCACAUAGGCGACGAUCCCUAGCUGGUCUGAGAGGAUGACUAGCCACACUGGAACUGAGACUCGUGCCAGUCUCCUAAGGGAGGCAGCAGUGGGGAAUAUUGCACAAUGGGCGCAAUCCUGAUGCAGCCAUGCCGCGUGUAUGAAGAAGUCCUUCGGGUUGUAAAGUACUUUCAGCGAGGAGGCGUUACUCGCAGAAGAAGCACCGGCUAACUCCGUGCCAGCAGCCGCGGUAAUUC
rnacentral:rRNA from 1 species